rnacentral:rRNA from 1 species
UACGAAGGGGGCCAGCGUUGCUCGGAAUCACUGGGCGUAAAGGGCUUGUAGGCGGUCUGAUAAGUCCUGUGUGAAAUCCCUUGGCUUAACCAAGGAGUUGCGCCGGAUACUGUCGGACUAGAGGCCGGGAGAGGGAAGCGGAAUUCCGAGUGUAGCGGUGAAAUGCGUAGAUAUUCGGAGGAACACCGGUGGCGAAGGCGGCUUCCUGGACCGGUUCUGACGCUGCAGAGCGAAAGCUAGGGGAGCAAACAGG